AGAACGAACGCUGGCGGCAGGCUUAACACAUGCAAGUCGAACGCUCGUAGCAAUACGGGAGUGGCAGACGGGUGAGUAACGCGUGGGAACAUACCCUCCGGUUCGGAAUAGCUCAGGGAAACUUGGAUUAAUACCGGAUACGGCCGAGAGGCGAAAGAUUUAUCGCCGGAGGAUUGGCCCGCGUUCGAUUAGCUAGUUGGUGAGGUAAUGGCUCACCAAGGCGAUGAUCGAUAGCUGGUCUGAGAGGAUGAUCAGCCACAUUGGGACUGAGACACGGCCCAAACUCCUACGGGAGGCAGCAGUGGGGAAUAUUGGACAAUGGGCGCAAGCCUGAUCCAGCCAUGCCGCGUGAGUGAUGAAGGCCUUAGGGUUGUAAAGCUCUUUCGCUCGGGACGAUAAUGACGGUACCGAGAUAAGAAGCCCCGGCUAACUUCGUGCCAGCAGCCGC
rnacentral:rRNA from 1 species